GCAAGGGCUAAACUCAAAGGAAUUGACGGGGCCGCACAAGCGGUGGAGCAUGUGGUUCAAUUCGAUGCAACGCGAAAAACCUUACCUGGGUUUGACAUCCUUUGACAGUCCCUGAAAGGGGCUCUUCCCGAUUUAUCGGGACAAAGUGACAGGUGCUGCAUGGCUGUCGUCAGCUCGUGUCGUGAGAUGUUGGGUUAAGUCCCGCAACGAGCGCAACCCUUGUCUUUAGUUGCCAAUAUUAAGUUAGGCACUCUAAUGAUACUGCCCCGGUUAACGGGGAGGAAGGUGGGGAUGACGUCAAGUCCAUAUGGUCCUUACAUCCAGGGCGAGAAACGUGCUACAAUGGUUGGUACAAAGGGGAGCAAAAUCGCAAGAUUGAGCAAAUCCUCAAAACCAAUCUCAGUUCGGAUUGGAGUCUGCAACCCGACUCCAUGAAGUUGGAAUCGCUAGUAAUCGCGGAUCAGCAUGCCGCGGUGAAUACGUAUCCGGGUCUUGUACACACCGCCCGUCAAGUC
rnacentral:rRNA from 1 species